UCAAGGUGAGAGAUACGGAGGUAGAGCACUGAAUGUCCUAGGGGGUAUUGCACCUACCGAAGACUAUCAAACUCCGAAUGCCGUCAUCUUAUACUUGGGAGUCAGACUGUGGGUGAUAAGAUUCAUAGUCGAAAGGGCAACAGCCCAGAUCGUCAGCUAAGGUCCCUAAAUGUAAGUUAAGUGGUAAAGGAUGUGGGAUUGCACAGACAACCAGGAUGUUGGCUUAGAAGCAGCCACUCAUUCAAAGAGUGCGUAAUAGCUCACUGGUCGAGUGAUCCUGCGCCGAAGAUUUCCGGGGCUAAAACUUACUACCGAAGCUACGGCAUCAGUAAUGAUGGGUAGGGGAGCUUCCCAUACGGGUUGAAGCAUGACCGUAAGGACAUGUGGACAGUAUGGGAGUGAGAAUGUUGGCAUGAGUAGCGAGAUGUGGGUGAGAAUCCCACAGGCCGUAAACCCAAGGUUUCCAGGGGAAGGUUCGUCCGCCCUGGGUUAGUCGGGACCUAAGCUGAGGCCGAAAGGCGUAGGUGAUGGACAACAGGUUGAUAUUCCUGUACUACCGAUAACCGUUUGAGAGAAGGGAUGACACAGUAGGAUAAGCUAAGCACACUGUUGGUUAUGUGUGCCCAAGCAUUGAGGCAGUCAAAGUAGGCAAAUCCGCUUUGAUAAUGCUGGGAUGUGAUGGGGAGCGAAAUUUAGUAGCGAAGUAGCUGAUUUCACACUGUCAAGAAAAGUCUCUAUCGAGGUUAAAGGUACCCGUACCGCAAACCGACACAGGUGGGUGAGGAGAGUAUCCUAAGGCCAGCGAGAGAACUGUUGUUAAGGAACUCGGCAAAAUGACCCCGUAACUUAGGGAUAAGGGGUGCCACCAUCAGGUGGCCGCAGAGAAUAGGCCCAAGCGACUGUUUACCAAAAACAUAGGUUUCUGCUAAGUCGCAAGACGAUGUAUAGGAGCUGACGCCUGCCCGGUGCUGGAAGGUUAAGGGGAUCUGUUAGAGCAAUCGAAGCAGUGAACUUAAGCCCCAGUAAACGGCGGCCGUAACUAUAACGGUCCUAAGGUAGCGAAAUUCCUUGUCGGGUAAGUUCCGACCCGCACGAAAGGCGUAACGAUUUGGGCACUGUCUCAACAACAGACUCGGUGAAAUUGUAAUUCCGGUGAAGAUGCCGGAUACCUGCGACAGGACGGAAAGACCCCAUGGAGCUUUACUGUAGCUUGACAUUGGGUCUUGGUACUACAUGUACAGGAUAGGUGGGAGGCUUUGAAACCAGGACGCCAGUUUUGGCGGAGCCAUCCUUGGGAUACCACCCUUGUAGUACUGGGACUCUAACCAUAGGCCAUGAAUCUGGUCUUGGGACACUGUCAGGUGGGCAGUUUGACUGGGGCGGUCGCCUCCCAAAAGGUAACGGAGGCGCUCAAAGGUUCUCUCAGUACGGUCGGAAAUCGUACGUAGAGUGUAAAGGCAAAAGAGAGCUUGAUUGCAAGACAUACAGGUCGAGCAAGGAUGAAAAUCGGACUUAGUGAUCCGGUGGUUCUGCGUGGAAGGGCCAUCGCUCAACGGAUAAAAGCUACCCUGGGGAUAACAGGCUUAUCUCCCCCAAGAGUCCACAUCGACGGGGAGGUUUGGCACCUCGAUGUCGGCUCAUCACAUCCUGGGGCUGUAGUAGGUCCCAAGGGUUGGGCUGUUCGCCCAUUAAAGUGGUACGCGAGCUGGGUUCAGAACGUCGUGAGACAGUUCGGUCCCUAUCCGUCGCAGGCGUAGGAAAUUUGAGAAGACCUGUCCUUAGUACGAGAGGACCGGGAUGGACGUACCUCUGGUGUACCAGUUGUUCUGCCAAGGGCAUGGCUGGGUAGCUAUGUACGGAAUGGAUAAGCGCUGAAAGCAUCUAAGCGCGAAGCCAACUUCAAGAUAAGAUUUCCCACCGCAAGGGUAAGACCCCAGAAAGACUAUCUGGUUGAUAGGUCGAAGGUGUAAGUGCAGCAAUGUAUUUAGCUUAUCGAUACUAAUAGGUCGAGGACUUGACCAA
rnacentral:rRNA from 1 species